rfam:Nomascus leucogenys chromosome 7b, whole genome shotgun sequence.
ACUGGGCAUGGUGACCGGUGCCUGUGGUCCCAGCUACUCAGGAGGCUGAGGCUGGAGGAUCACUUGAGCACAGGGGGUCUGGGCUGCAGUGAGCUGUGAUUGCACCUCUGCACUCCAGCCUGGGCAACAGAGUGAGACCCUGUCUCAA